GUCAUUUGUGAGUCAGGUGAUACAUGUUGUAGUACGGUUACUUUGAGAUGUUUUUUUUUUUCUUCCACGGGAACACUUCUUUCUGGUGUAAAAUCGAUAGUGAAGGUAAAAUUUACCCAAAUUUCUAGGUGGACAGGCGACUUUUGUGUCUGCACAGGUCACGGAAAAGGCGGCUGUCGACACUUCGUCAACACCACGGGAUUCCGACAUUACUCCAUACGUUACCUCCGAGUGCUGUCCAGGAAGUGGACUGACCCUCGCUGGAAAGGACCAUUUAGGGUUCUGGCUAGAACCUCACACGACAUCCAAUUGGAGACCAAGGGUCAUAAGUGGUAUCAUUACUCGCAGUUGAGACCGCCACCUGACAUUAUACCUGACAAUGGUGAGCGUGAAAGUUGACUGCCCGGACAGGCAAGUCAAGAGAGGGAAGGUGAAGAUGAUCAGAAUUGAGUCUAAAUCAAAGAUGUCAACAAUGUCAACAAUGUCUGUGCCUGAAAAACAAUUAACAAUGUCAACAA